GAUGAAGAACGCAGUGAAAUGCGAUAAGUAAUGUGAAUUGCAGAAUUCAGUGAAUCAUCGAAUCUUUGAACGCACAUUGCGCCCGGCAGUACUCUGCCGGGCAUGCCUGUUCGAGCGUCAUUUCAACCCUCAAGCCCUGCUUGGUGUUGGGGUCCCACGGCCGCCGUGGGCCCUGAAAGGAAGUGGCGGGCUCGCUACAACUCCGAGCGUAGUAAUUCAUUAUCUCGCUUAGGGCGUUGGGCGGCGCUCCUGCCGUUAAAGAACCAUCUUUAACUCAAGGUUGACCUCGGAUCAGGUAGGAAUACCCGCCGAACUUAAGCAUAUCAAUAAGCGGAGGA
rnacentral:misc_RNA from 1 species